rnacentral:ribozyme from 12 species
UUUUCUAUUCUGUUUGUUUUGUCUUUUCAUUCUUGGAUUUGCAAUCUGCCAUGAAAUGUUUUUGUUUCUUUAAAAGAAAAAGAGUGUGUGCAAGAACCAAAAAAGACAAGAAAAGAGAAGAAAAGAAAGAUCCCCCCAAAAGAAUACCUGAAUUCGCUUAAAAAAAAAAAAAAAAAAAAAAAAUCGUUUCAGUUCUCAUAUC